AUUGAACGCUGGCGGCAUGCCUUACACAUGCAAGUCGAACGGCAGCACGGGUGCUUGCACCUGGUGGCGAGUGGCGAACGGGUGAGUAAUACAUCGGAACAUGUCCUGUAGUGGGGGAUAGCCCGGCGAAAGCCGGAUUAAUACCGCAUACGAUCUACUGAUGAAAGCGGGGGCCCUUCGGGCCUCGCGCUAUAGGGUUGGCCGAUGGCUGAUUAGCUAGUUGGUGGGGUAAAGGCCUACCAAGGCGACGAUCAGUAGCUGGUCUGAGAGGACGACCAGCCACACUGGAACUGAGACACGGCCCAGACUCCUACGGGAGGCAGCAGUGGGGAAUUUUGGACAAUGGGCGAAAGCCUGAUCCAGCAAUGCCGCGUGUGUGAAGAAGGCCUUCGGGUUGUAAAGCACUUUUGUCCGGAAAGAAAACCUGGGCCCUAAUACGGUCGGGGGAUGACGGUACCGGAAGAAUAAGCACCGGCUAACUACGUG
rnacentral:rRNA from 1 species